AGAGUUUGAUCCUGGCUCAGGACGAACGCUGGCGGCGUGGAUUAGGCAUGCAAGUCGAACGGUAUAAACCUUUCGGGGUUUAGAGAGUGGCGAACGGGUGAGUAACACGUAGGUAAUCUACCCUCAAAACGGGGACAACCCAGGGAAACUUGGGCUAAUACCGGAUGCGUGCAAGCAAUGUUUUGGCUGUUAAUGCUAUUCACGGAAGUGAGUAGUGUUAAUGGUUGAGAGCAUUAUUUGCAUAAAAGGUGGCAUAUGCUGCCGUUUGAGGAUGAGCCUGCGUCCUAUUAGUUAGUUGGUGAGGUAAUGGCUUACCAAGGCGAUGAUAGGUAGGCGGCCUUAACGGGUGGUCGCCCACACUGGGAUUGAGAGACGGCCCAGACUCCUACGGGAGGCAGCAGUCGAGAAUAGUCUACAAUGGACGGAAGUCUGAUAGUGCGACGCCGCGUGAACGAAGAAUCCCUUCGGGGUGUAAAGUUCUUUUAUACGUGAGCAGUGCCCUUUAUAUGAAUAGUAUAGAGGGAGGGAUUUAAGCGUAUGAAUAAGCAACGGCUAACUCCGUGCCAGCAGCCGCGGUAACACGGGGGUUGCAAGCGUUGUCCGGAAUUACUAGGCGUAAAGUGCAGGUAGGCGGAUAGAUAAGUUUAAGGUUAAAGGCUACGGCUUACCCGUAGUAAGGCGUUAGAUACUGUUUAUCUGGAAUGCGGUUGAGGGAGACAGAAUUCCUGGUGUAGCGGUGGAAUGCGCAGAGAUCAGGAGGAAUACCGAAGGCGAAGGCAGUCUUCUAAGCCGAUAUUGACGCUAAACUGCGAAGGUGUGGGGAUCAAACAGGAUUAGAUACCCUGGUAGUCCACACAGUAAACGAUAAUCACUAGGUGUUGGGUUCGUAUAGGACUCGGUGCCGGAGCUAACGCGAUAAGUGAUUCGCCUGGGGAGUACGAUCGCAAGGUUGAAACUCAAAGGAAUUGACGGGGGCCCGCAC
rnacentral:rRNA from 1 species